CCUACGGGAGGCAGCAGUGAGGAAUAUUGGUCAAUGGACGAGAGUCUGAACCAGCCAAGUAGCGUGAAGGAUGACUGCCCUAUGGGUUGUAAACUUCUUUUAUAUGGGAAUAAAAUGUUCCACGUGUGGGAUUUUGUAUGUACCAUAUGAAUAAGGAUCGGCUAACUCCGGGCCAGCAGCCGCGGUAAUACGGAGGAUCCGAGCGGUAUCCGGAUUUAUUGGGUUUAAAGGGAGCGUAGGGGGAUUGUUAAGGCAGUUGGGCAAGUUGGCGGCUCAACCGGAAAAUUGCAGUUGCAACUGGCAGUCUUGAGUACAGUAGAGGUGGGCGGCAUUCGUGGUGUAGCGGUGAA
rnacentral:rRNA from 1 species